rnacentral:tRNA from 1 species
GGGACUGUAGCUUAGUUGGACAAAAGCACCUGAUUGUCGAUCAGGAGAACGAGGGUUCAAAUCCCUUCAGUCCCGCCA